rnacentral:rRNA from 1 species
GUCUGCUUAACACAUGCAAGUCGACCGCAACGUCGUAAUUGAGUGGCGGACGGGUGAGUAACGCGUGAGAAUCUGCCUUGGGGUCGGGGACAACCACUGGAAACGGUGGCUAGUACCGGAUAAGCCUUUGGGUAAAAAAUUUAUUGCCCCAAGAGGAGCUCGCGUCUGAUUAGCUAGUUGGUGAGGUAAAAGCUCACCAAGGCAGCGAUCAGUAGCUGGUCUGAGAGGACGAUCAGCCACACUGGGACUGAGACACGGCCCAGACUCCUACGGGAGGCAGCAGUGGGGAAUUUUCCGCAAUGGGCGAAAGCCUGAUGGAGCAAGACCGCGUGAGGGAGGAAGGCUCUUGGGUUGUAAACCUCUUUUCUCAGGGAAGAAGCUCUGACGGUACCUGAGGAAUCAGCCUCGGCUAACUCCGUGCCAGCAGCCGCGGUAAUACGGAGGAGGCAAGCGUUAUCCGGAAUUAUUGGGCGUAAAGCGUCCGCAGGUGGCGAUUCAAGUCUGCUGUCAAAGCACGGGGCUUAACUCCGUUAAGGCAGUGGAAACUGAAUAGCUAGAGUGCCGUAGGGGUAGAGGGAAUUCCCGGUGUAGCGGUGAAAUGCGUAGAGAUCGGGAAGAACAUCGGUGGCGAAAGCGCUCUACUGGACGGCAACUGACACUCAGGGACGAAAGCUAGGGGAGCGAAUGGGAUUAGAUACCCCAGUAGUCCUAGCUGUAAACGAUGGAUACUAGGUGUAGCUUGUAUCGACCCGAGCUGUGCCGAAGCUA